rnacentral:rRNA from 1 species
UGGGGAAUUUUGGACAAUGGGGGCAACCCUGAUCCAGCCAUGCCGCGUGAGUGACGAAGGCCUUAGGGUUGUAAAGCUCUUUUGGCGGGGAAGAUAAUGACGGUACCCGCAGAAUAAGCUCCGGCUAACUUCGUGCCAGCAGCCGCGGUAAUACGAAGGGAGCUAGCGUUGUUCGGAAUCACUGGGCGUAAAGCGCACGUAGGUGGGCAGUUAAGUCAGGGGUGAAAGCCCGAGGCUCAACCUCGGAAUUGCCUCUGAUACUGGCUGUCUAGAGUUCGAGAGAGGUGAGUGGAAUUCCUAGUGUAGAGGUGAAAUUCGUAGAUAUUAGGAAGAACACCGGUGGCGAAGGCGGCUCACUGGCUCGAUACUGACACUGAGGUGCGAAAGCGUGGGGAGCAAACAGGAUUAGAUACCCCGGUAGUCCCUGAGCGGGCUGGCAAGGCGCAU